UGGGACUGUUCUUAAUGUUUCCUCUGAAUAGUGUGGGGGUGCCUCAGUUUCCCCUAGGCAGUUCUUAAGUAUCUAGGGGGUGGAGUAAGGGUGUAUGAUCAUUGCAGAGCCCUAGAGGGCAGGUGUGUGCAGGGGUCUGGACACAGAGAAUGGCCGACACCCUGUUUCCUGGCAACUAAUGGCCUGGGCCCUUCCCCCCCUGCAAGGUGAGAGCUGAAGGGUUGGAGAACAAAGGAAUCAGGUGACCACCUGGCCCGGGAAAGGAACAAAGCCCAGAGGAGGAGGGGCUGGAGGGGUUUUCAGUUUGGGGCUGGCUGGGACAUGGAGUGAAGUGCAGACGUGGUUGUCUGGCUCACUGCCCCCCAGAAUGGACCCAGCAGAGGGGUCCCGUUCUCUGCACCUGCAAGCUCUGUUUUAGACCAUGUUCCUGUCGUCUAAUAAACCUUCUGUUUUACUGGCUGGCUGAGAGUCACGUCUGACUGCAAAGUUGGGGUGCAGGACCCUCUGGCUUCCCCAGGAGCCCCGCCUGAGCGGACUCGCUGGGGGAAAGCGCACGGAGAGGCAGAGGAUGCUGAAUGCUCUGAGGUCAGACCCAGGAAGGUGGAAGCUGUGUGAGCUGUGUGUCCUGAAGACAGGCUGCUCACAGAAAGGCGACUACCCCAGAGUCCUGACUGACUUCAUGGGGAGCAGUUCCAGAGCAUCGCCCAGGGACUCCGUGACAACUGGUGGCAGCGGUGGGAUGUACUGCACCCCGUGGAUGGUGCUUCCUGCAGUAAGUGACUGGGGAGCAGUAACACGAAGGGGGAUUGCCGAGGACCAGGCCUGCUGAAGGCUCAGAGAGGAGCGGUUUCGGGGGGCGGUUAACCCCUGGGAGUGUGUGACCAGCGAGAAGGAUUGUGCAGUAACAGGGUUCCCCUGGGGACUGCAGCGAGCAGUCCAAGGGGCGGAGGAGUCUGCAGCUCGACCCUGGCAAAGAGGUGGUGACCUCGAGAAGGGCUGGCACACUAGGGGUUCUCCCUGGAAACCGUGGGGAGCUGAGAGCACACGGGCCUGUGAGUCCACAACAACUUGGGAGGAGCGGAGUGAUGGCCUGUCACCGUCUCCUUAAGAAGGACAUUGUAACCCUGUGCAGAAAGAGAGGGUUGAGCGUUGGAAAGUUCACCAAAGCAGAGUUAAUCGUGCAGCUGGAGGAGGAUGAUCGCUCUAAGGAACAGAUUCCUGACCCCAACUGGGGCUAUAGCAGGAUCUGGGAGCAGCUGGAGCGGGAGCCAGGCAUUGCCAAGACUCCUGUCCCCGACCAGACGGGGGUCUUCACGAUCGGGUUCCCCAUCGGGGGAUCGAGACGGACGGGAUUGGAGCGGAGUCUGAGAGAGCAAGAGGACCGUGGGAGACAGCGAGAGCCCGAGAAAGAGCUGCAGAAGCAGCAGCAGGAUGAACUGGAGGUGGUGGGGCGGAGAGGCCGAGGGGACCUCCCCGGGGUGAGUGGGGAUAGAUCCCGGGGGGCCAGUUCCGCAGGGAACCUCGAGACUAAAUUGCUGCCCCUAGUUAAGGGGGGGGGGGUGUGGAUGCCCACCUCACUGCCUUUGAGCAGGCUGGAGAUCUGAACCAGGGGGACCCUGCGGAAAACCCCGGUGUCUAGCUCCCUUGCUGGGUCCCAAGGCCACAGACUCCAUCAGCCAGAUGGGUGGGGAGGUGGACACGCUCCCACUCCUGACCCCAACCUAUAUGUCUGUGUGGAGUUCCCUGGGGUCAGGCCCCUCGGACCCCCAGUGGGAGCGGAAGGGGAUGGUCAAUGGGGAGACAUUCCUGGGGUGGCGAGAUCCUGGGACAGAGAGAACUGGUGUCAGACCCUGGGUGGUGCAGCCUCAGAGGCUGAGGGCCUGUGUGAGCUGGGUGAGGGUCCCAGGGACGAAGCCCCUCGCCCUGCCUAUGGCCCAGAUCCCUGUGCAGACCCAGGAGGGGUGGGGCUGGCUGGCCGUUGGGGUGCCCCAGGACACCAGCUGCGAGACCCUGUUGUGGGGUGACUGUGUCUCUUUGGGACAGGAUCCAGGCCCUGCUCCUGUAACUGCCGAGGGUUUGAAUUUGAAUCCAGGGAACCAAUCGGUGGAGAGGGAAAUGGUCAGUGAAAAUGCAGAUGACCUGGCUGGCAGCAGGGAGGAGCCGCUAGGCUCAGGCUACCUGCCUGCCUGUAACCAGACCCCUGGGACUCGGUGGGACAGAGAGAUGCUCCCUGCCCCCUUGCACACCAGACUGGGGACUCUCGCUGGCUCUGAUGCAGUGAGGAAAGCAGUGGCCUGCCCCCACUGGGACAGCAAGGGCAGUGCUGAGCACAGUGGGAGCUGAGACCCCAGCUGAGUGGGGGGAGACACAGGCAGGGCAGGGGAUCUGUGGGGAGUGGCAAGGUGCUUGGUAAGGGAAGUUUGGAUGAGCCUAGGCAGCCUUGUGAGCUGAUGGCUGUGUCCAGUCAGCAGGGUGGGAAGGCGAGGAGAGUGGAAGAUGAGAGUCCCUGGACCUUACCUGUUAGCUGGGUGGAGAAUUGGGACAGUGAAGGAAAUGGGUCUCUGUCUGUCAGGGGUAUUGACUUGCCUAUGGAGGGAGCUACCCUGAUCUCCAAGCAGUUGUCUGUGACCAGCCUUGUGUGCUGGGACAAAGGGAAUGAGAUCCCAACCUGUGUGUCUGGUAAAGGAGAAAGUGUGUCCGGCUCUUCUUGGUCUGUGGAGCAGACAGAAGGGGCCUUUCAGCCUGUGAUGGUUGAGGGUCAUGCAGUUGUCUCAGAGCUGGUUCUGGAUUCAGCUAAAGCCCAGGAAGGGAAGGGUCCUAAGUUUCUGUCUGCUCGGGAGAAUGGCCCUGUAACUAGGUCGCAUCCAGUUAGGGUCUAUGUAAAAUCCCCCGAGACCAGACAAUUCUGGUGCUUGUAUUUUGCCUGUUGCUAGUGUGUUGUUGGAAAGGGUGUAGCAACUCUGUCUAAUCAGGGUGAGAUCCUAGCCAGGGCACAAGGAGAGCAGGAAGGUGAUGUGAUUGUGGAACCUACUGAGGGUGUGGAAACCUGUAGCAAGAAGGAAAAGAUUCCUGAACUUGUGUGUGGCAAAGGGAAGGAGAAUGCUUCUAACCUUUUAUCUAGGAAGUCUGUAAGUUUGCAUGAAAGGGGAUUGUGUAGGAAUCCGCCUGAUGGGCCAGAGGUGAUUCUGGAUGUAAGGGAGACCCAGAAAGAGUCUGUAGUUGCUCAGGAAAGUGUUCCCCUAGAGCAAGCCCUAGGUAAAGAGGGUAAGAGCAGAAUUUCUGGGAGGGGGUGAAUUGUUGCAUAGAAAAGCCCUCGGGAAAGGAAUCCUCAUGGAGUCUUUGCAAGCAGUUUACUGCCACUGAAGGGUGUGAAAGUGAUUUAAUCAAGAAAGUUUCAGUUCCUAACAGCCAGAAAUUUUCUGUUGUGAAUGGAUCCACUGACUUUCCUGUUGAAAGAUCCAGUGUGGAGAGCUUUGAGAAGGUCUCAGAUGGAGUGAAAGCUAUUAAGAAAGGUAUACCGUCCUAUAACCAAGUGGCUGUGUUUGGCCAGCUUGUUGGGGAGACAAGGUUGUUGGGAAAGGGAUGUCUCCAUGCUAGUUCUGUAAGUGAACAGUAUGUGGCCCAGGUCAAGAUGGGGGCCCUUAACCAAGAGAGCCCGAAUUGCAGCCCUCCAGACUGGAGCUCUGGGAGAAAACCCAAUCCCAGUUUGACCCCCUGGGGUUUUGGGGUGGCCAAAGGGCAUGGGCUGCAGAAACCUUCCCACAUGCAGCCUGCUAGUGCUAUCGACCACCCCCGACCUAAGGGAGGGCGUGAAACUGGAAGGGCCUGGUGUAACUCCUACCAAGGAACGGGAGAGAUGCUGGGGCAUCCAUGGGAACAUUGGUGGCUUCAAACUUCCCCAGGUCACCGGGUAAAGUGACCCCGCUCAGUUCGAUCUCGAAGGGGGGAGAGAUGUGACGAAGUGGGCCUGUUCUUAAUGUUUCCUCUGAAUAGUGUGGGGGUGCCUCAGUUUCCCCUAUGCAGUUCUUAAGUAUCUAGGUGGUGGGGUAAGGGUGUAUGAUCAUUGCAGAGCCCUAGAGGGCAGGUGUGUGCAGGGAUCUGGACACAGAGAAUGGCCGACACCCUGUUUCCUGGCAACUGAUGGCCUGGGCCCUUCCCCCCCUGCAAGGUGAGAGCUAAAGGGUUGGAGAACAAAGGAAUCAGGUGACCACCUGGCCCGGGAAAGGAACAAAGCCCAGAGGAGG